CUUCCCCAGCCGAGGCUGGGUUAAGGCCUCACCUCCCGCAAGCACAGGCUCCCCGAGUCAGAACGUGACCUGGAUUCCCUUAGCCCGGAGGACUGAGGGCUGAGAGCCUGGCAACAGCGUCUGAUUGCUGCCCGUCAGCAGCUUCACCGCGAGCUAAUCUGGACUGCAGUCCGACCUCCCGGGCUCCCUCAUGCUCCACGUGAUUGCCAUGGUCAGGAAGGCAGGAAGCAAAAAAUGCAGCUCACCAUCCAGACGCCCUGCCUCGUGCUCCCGCGGACUGGCUGCGCCCCAGACUCGGGUUUCAGUAGAAUCAGGAUGAGCCUGCUGGGCAGCCGGGUCACAGGCCCCUAACUCACCUGCAGACCCACGCAGAUCAGUCUUCGCAGUGAGCUCAGGGCAGACCUCAGCUUUGCUCAAGCCCGGCCCUGCCACAAACAUGCCUCACCUCCUGCCACCUACCCUGGCCGUUCCUCCAGCCAACUGGGCAUGAGAAUGAAAACUCCCACAAGUUCCAUGGGAAUGCAUAUUUGAUGAACUGGAAAAAUAUCAGGCUAACUAAAUAAAAGUUGGAUUUCCCUGAGCCUCACUUGCUGGUCACUGCCCUGUCACUUCUGAAAGUCAUGUGGACUCCAUUAUUUGUUUAUUUUUUUGAGACGGAGGCUCGCUCUGUCGCCCAGGCUGGAGUGCAGUGGCGUAAUCUCGGUUCCCUGCAACCUCUGCCUCCCGUGUUCAAGCGAUUCUCCUGCCUCAGCCUCCCGAGUAGCUGGGAUUACAGGCGCCAUGUUAACCAGGAUGGUCUCGAUCUCCUGACCUCAUGAUCUGCCUGCCUCGGCCUCCCAAAGUGCUGGGAUUACAGGUGUGAGACACCACACCUGGUUAAUUUUUGUAUUUUUUAAUAGCGAUGGGGUUUCACCAUGUUGGCCAGGCUGGUCUUGAACUCCUGAUCUCAAAUAAUCCACCCACCUUGGCAUCCCAAAGUGCUGGGAUUACAGGCAUGAGCCACCACACCUGGCAGGGCCCCAUUAUUACAUCACACACAGAGAGGGUUCUGAAAGGCAGCAGGGGCUGUUGAGGGUGAAAGUCAGUUGUCUUCUGGGUGCAGCUACAGCUAUUCCACCUGUCAUGCAGGUAGCCAUCCACAGUAAACCGUCAGCUUUUCUCCCUUACAUUUUUCUCUUUAUACUUGAGAAUUAUGUUUUCACUUGGGCCAUAAAGACAUUUGGGCUAAGUCACAGGAAAUAGGACGCUGAUAAAUGAGGACUGCAGUUUCUUCUCUUGAACCAUUGAAUACCCCCCGCAGGAAGUACACGGGAGAAAAUAGGAGGGAGAUUGUUUGCGGAGGGCUGCAGCUGAGCAAAAGAACACUGACCAUAAGAUCUGCCCUCUUAACACAUUUUUAAGAGCGUGAUACAGGAUUGUUAACAAUAAGGAACAUGGUUGUUUGUUUUUCUCUUAAUUGCUUUUUUAUUACGAAGCUAAAUGAUUUUUAAGAGCGAAAUUUGAAUAUAAAGAAAAUAAUAGGGCUUUUGACUUUUCUACUACAAGAAGGUGGCUUCCUCAAGGCAUAUGAUUGCAAUCCAAGCGAUGCUAUUUCCAGAUGGUAAACAACCCUCUUUUUUACAAUCAUGUUGCCUACAAGUCUAGGCAGACAACCCUUGGUACUUACAUACACCAGGUACUAGAGAAAAGCUGGAAAAUGCAGCCAGUGGUCUCAAGGCUUUCAAAAAUGAGACCUUAAUAAAGAGUUAAUAUGAA
rnacentral:lncRNA from 1 species